rnacentral:rRNA from 1 species
CCUACGGGGGGCAGCAGUGGGGAAUAUUGGACAAUGGGCGAAAGCCUGAUCCAGCCAUGCCGCGUGUGUGAAGAAGGCCUUCGGGUUGUAAAGCACUUUCAGUGGGGAAGAAAGCCUUGGGGCUAAUACCCUCGAGGAAGGACAUCACCCACAGAAGAAGCACCGGCUAACUCCGUGCCAGCAGCCGCGGUAAUACGGAGGGUGCGAGCGUUAAUCGGAAUUACUGGGCGUAAAGCGCGCGUAGGCGGUCUGAUAAGCCGGUUGUGAAAGCCCCGGGCUCAACCUGGGAACGGCAUCCGGAACUGUCAGGCUAGAGUGCAGGAGAGGAAGGUAGAAUUCCCGGUGUAGCGGUGAAAUGCGUAGAGAUCGGGAGGAAUACCAGUGGCGAAGGUGGCCUUCUGGACUGACACUGACGCUGAGGUGCGAAAGCGUGGGUAGCAAACAGGAUUAGAUACCCGAGUAGUC